rnacentral:rRNA from 1 species
UACGGAGGGGGCUAGCGUUGUUCGGAAUUACUGGGCGUAAAGGGCGCGUAGGCGGCGCGAUAAGUUGGGCGUGAAAGGCCCGGGCUCAACCCUGAGCGUGCUUCCGAUACGGGCAGACUAGAGGUAUGCAGGGGAGAACGGAAUUCCUGGUGUAGCGGUGGAAUGCGCAGAUAUCAGGAGGAACACCGGUGGCGAAGGCGGUUCUCUGGGCAUUACCUGACGCUGAGGAGCGAAAGCGUGGGGAGCAAACAGG